UGGGGAAUAUUGCACAAUGGGCGCAAGCCUGAUGCAGCCAUGCCGCGUGUAUGAAGAAGGCCUUCGGGUUGUAAAGUACUUUCAGCGGGGAGGAAGGGAGUAAAGUUAAUACCUUUGCUCAUUGACGUUACCCGCAGAAGAAGCACCGGCUAACUCCGUGCCAGCAGCCGCGGUAAUACGGAGGGUGCAAGCGUUAAUCGGAAUUACUGGGCGUAAAGCGCACGCAGGCGGUUUGUUAAGUCAGAUGUGAAAUCCCCGGGCUCAACCUGGGAACUGCAUCUGAUACUGGCAAGCUUGAGUCUCGUAGAGAGGGGUAGAAUUCCAGGUGUAGCGGUGAAAUGCGUAGAGAUCUGUAGGAAUACCGGUGGCGAAGGCGGCCCCCUGGACGAAGACUGACGCUCAGGUGCGAAAGCGUGGGGAGCAAACAGG
rnacentral:rRNA from 1 species